rnacentral:lncRNA from 1 species
CCAAACCAGAAAUAAAAAACAAAUACUAAAUUAAUAACAAAGUUCAUUAAACAGUCCAAUCAACGGAAGCCCAAAAUUAAAGCUAAAACAUCUAGCCCAAUAGAUUAAAACCCUAACCCAAAACCUAAUUCAGCCCAACCUGAUUGCAGAAACCCUAGAAGCAAACAACCUUCGGCGCCACAGCCAGCAGGUUCCCCCCC